AUGACAUCUCAAUGUGACACUUUCAUGUUGAAUAGGAAAGGAUAUAUUACGCUAUCGCCAGCUAUCUAUUAGUUUCUACAUUUCCGUUUAUUUUCAGUGAUGUAUUUAAAUCACAGCACAGGUGCUUUUCAUAAUCCCUUGAAUUUGGUGGUUGGAUAUGACGGAGAGACGGAUGAUUAGGGACUAUUUUUUAAAAGUCAGAUUUCUUUUCCCUUUUUGAACUGAUAAAUUAGUUGAUAUACUUUAGACCAGGGGUGCGCACACUUUUUCGGCUUGCAAGCUAUUUUUUAACCGACCAUGUCAUGGCGAUUCCCCAUCCAAACAAAUCGAUGUAAAUAAGAAACAAAGGGUCUCUCGUCUUUCGGAGGCGAGAAAUCCGUCAGAACCUUUCCAGACAUUCUUGGUCACCUUACUCGAUCUGACUUGCACGGCUUGGACUCCGGGGUUGUCCAUAAUGUUUUUGAUUCUCACCUUGACGGAUGGAGCGCGUGCAGGAAGAAUGAAACGUUCUUAGAGAAAAGAAAAGGAGGCUUCUUGAUCAGACCUAAGCAUGGAGAUAUUAGCUCAAUAACCAGAGAGCCAACUGUGGAAGCUGUGAAUCGGAUGCAAAGACAGCAGAAUGGUCACGUCGUCGACACUUGCUUCACAUACUGCUUAACACAAGAAACUACAAAGAAAUAAAACUAAAAUUGAAUGAGUCUGAUUUAUGUUUCCUGUUUGUUUUGGUUAUAAAAACAUGAAAGACUUUGAAUGUGUAGACUACUGCCCAAUAGUCUAAUA
ensembl:lncRNA